rnacentral:tRNA from 2 species
GUUACAGUAGUUUAUUAAAACAUUGGUCUUGUAAACCAAAAUUGAGAAUUAAUUUCUCCUUGAACA